rnacentral:piRNA from 1 species
GUUUAGAAAGGAAAAAUUUUUU